AUUGAACGCUGGCGGCAUGCUUUACACAUGCAAGUCGAACGGUAACAGGGUGCUUGCACCGCUGACGAGUGGCGAACGGGUGAGUAAUGCGUCGGAACGUGCCGAGUAGUGGGGGAUAACGCAGCGAAAGUUGUGCUAAUACCGCAUACGUACUGAGGUAGAAAGUGGGGGACCUUCGGGCCUCACGCUAUUCGAGCGGCCGACGUCUGAUUAGCUAGUAGGUGAGGUAAAGGCUCACCUAGGCGACGAUCAGUAGCGGGUCUGAGAGGAUGAUCGGCCACACUGGGACUGAGACACGGCCCAGACUCCUGCGGGAGGCAGCAGUGGGGAAUUUUGGACAAGGAGCGAAAGCCUGAUCCAGCCAUGCCGCGUGUCUGAAGAAGGCCUUCGGGUUGUAAAGGACUUUUGUCAGGGAGGAAAUCCCUAGUGCUAAUAACACUGGGGGAUGACAGUACCUAAAGAAUAAGCACCGGCUAACUACGUGCCAGCCGCCGCGGUAA
rnacentral:rRNA from 1 species